rnacentral:lncRNA from 8 species
UCAACAACAUGGUCGGUCCUAGAGGAGGAAAUGAUGCUCUAACAGUCACACAACCCAACACACGUCUGUUCACAGGUAGCCAUGUAAACCCCAUUGGAGAUGUAGGUUUGAAGAGAAGCAGAGGAAAUCCUCCACCCAACCCAGAGAAGCCCUCUCCAGGUCAGCAGCAACAUUGGAGUACCCUACUACCUGACAGGUGGGUUUACAGGCCCACUCAGGGUUUGACAAGGGCUUUGGUCUACUUCCCUUUCUCACUCCCAUACCAAAUCUAUGGUUGAGUCCAUCUAAAUUCCUGACAAUCCAAAAACAGACUUACUCUCCUAUGAAGAAAUUCCAUGUCCAAUGGAUUUGACCCCAACUCGAUCUGACAGCAUGAUCCUAUCAUGGUGGUUUGGUGCUAGGGGAGCUCACGGUGGUUGAGUGGUGUUUGUGAGGCAGGACCAGGGGUAGGGGAGUUAGUUUUGGGAGUGUGGUGAGGUGCAGAGGCCAUCACAGGCCUCAGUGAGCACAGCUGCAGUCCCACUGUCAUUACUGCUCCUCUGGUGGCUGGGCAGAAAGGGGCUCCUUGCCGCAUGGCUGUCCUCCCCCUGCUUGCCUGCCCACCCUGCGCCCAGGAAGGGUUGGUAGCACCAGGCGGCACCAUUCACAGUUCACACUCUCUCUCUCGUGUGGCAGCAGGGAGGUAUAGAGCGAGGGGGGUUAAAGGGAGAGAGUAAAGGAGGAGGGAAGGGGUGUAGGGGUGUGUUCCCUCUCAUCUCCCCUUUUCCCCUCUGACCAUUCAGUUUCACACUCUUCACCCCCCUCUCUCCCCUCAACCCUCUCCACUCUUUCCUUUUUAGCCCAUGCACCUGCAGACCUUAAAUCCAGCCCAUAGAGCUGAAGGAUUGGGGUCUUCUGAGGGUUAGAGGGGGACUCUAUUAAACAGCACAUUUCCAAGUGCUGCCUUUUGAUAUGGGCCAGUGUUAUUAAAUCAAAUGUAAUAUGUCACAUGCGCCGAAUACAACAGGUGUAGCCCUUACAGUGAAAUGCUUACUGUCACGUCCUGACCAGUAUAAGGGGUUAUUUGUUAUUGUAGUUUGGUCAGGAAGGGCAGGGGUGUGUUUGUUUAGAGUGUUUCGGGGUUUGUUGGGCUAUGUUCUGUUUUAAGAGUGGUGUUUGUUUAGAGUGUUUCGGGGUUUGUUGGGUUAUGUUCUAGUAUGUCUAUUUCUAUGUGGUGUUUGUUGGGUUGACCUUCAAUUGGAAGCAGCUGCUCCUAGUUGCUUCUAAUUGAAGGUCCUAUAUAAGAGGGGUGUUUCUCUAUGGGAUUUUGUGGGUAGUUGUUUCUUGUUUAGCUGUGUGCCUGACAAGACUGUUAUCGUCGUUGUUUUUGUAUACGUGUGUUUUGUUUCGGUUUUCCUUCUUUCUGCCUAUUAAAAAGAAGAUGAGUAUACACAUUCCUGCUGCGUUUUGGUCUAAUCCUUACGACACCCGUGACACUUACUUACAAGCCCUUAACCAACAGUGCAGUUUUAAGGGAAAAAAUUGAAAUAUAACAGAUAAUUAAGGAGCAACAAUACAAUAAUAGUAGCGAGGCUGUAUAUAGGGGGUUCGGGUACAGAGUCAAUGUAAUAUGUACAGUAGGUAGAGGAAAAGUGACUAUGCAUAGAUAAUAAACAGAGAGUAUCAGCAGCGUAAAAAUGGGGGGUGGAGUGGGGACAAUGCAAAUAGUCUGGGUAGCCAUUUGAUUAACUGUUUAAGAGUAUUAUGGCUUGGGGGUAGAAGCUGUUAAGAAGCCUUUUUGACCUAGACUUGGCACUCUGGUACUGCUUGCUGUGCGGUAGCAGAGAGAACAGUCUAUGACUAGGGUGUCUGGAGUCCUUGGCAAUUUUUUGAGCCUUCUUAUGACACCGCCUGGUAUGGAGGUCAUGGAUGGCAGGAAGCUUAGCCUCUUUGAUGUACUGGGCCGUACGCACUUCACGCGGUCGGAGGCCGAGCAGUUGCCAUACCAGGCGGUGAUGCAACCAGUCAGGAUGCUCUCGAUGGUGCAGCUGUAGAGGACCCAUGCCAAAUCUUUUCAGUCUCCUGAGGAAUAGGUUUUGUUGUGCCCUCUUGAUGACUGUCUUGGUGUGUUUGGACCAUGAUAGUUUGUUGGUGAUGUGGACACCAAGGAACUUGAAGCUCUCAACUUGCUCCACUACAGCCCCGU